GGCAUUUUCUCUUUCAGACUGGUACUGUGUGCAGCGACACAUUAAACAGAAGUUAUACUGAGUGGGCUAUUUGCCAGUAUAAACUCUCUGAAAUGUGUAAAGAGGAGCCAUUCACUUGUCCAGCUUGCACACCUCAGAUGCUCGCUGUGGCAGUGGAUGGCAACCACAAGCAGUAUCGUUUUAAAAAAGCUGGAAAUUUUGAUGACAGUGGAUUUUUUGAGGGCAUCUUUCUGUGUAAAGAUGGGGAUGUGGCGUCCUUUGUGGAUUACAUCCACUCCAGAACUGAGCAUUUUUCUUGAAAUCAGAAUACACGAAAGGGCUCCUGUGGUAGUGCUGAGUUCACAGCAGCAAAGGAGAGUCUGGAUGAGGAGGGACUGGAAGUUGCUGUGUGCCGCCACGGGGUGCUUUUACGAGCACUUAACAUGUUCAGGUAAUUACUGUUGUAGGUGAAAUUGGUACCAGCCUCACAUGGGAGUACCAGACUAGUAGGUAA